GUGAAAUAAGAGGAUCACAUCCAACAUUUGCCCUGGAAAGAUUCAGAAUUCUUUUUCUCUUGACAGUAGAGGGAGAGUUUUUUCUUUAUUUCUUUUUAAUUUUUUUUCACUUUUGGUCCACCAGGGAUAUCUCAGAUUCAGAAUAAAGUAUUGAUAUUCCACAAAAGACGAGUAAAAAGGACUAAUGCUCAAGCUCUUGGUUGCAAAUGUUGUGCGGAAAGAUUUCCCAGAGUGCCAAGAAGAGGAAUUUUUUUUUCUUUUCAGCAAAAAGUGCAGAAACCUUGGUUAACUUGCAGAAAUAAAAGGGAAAUGGGGACCCACCUGUCACUCAAAAAGAAUUGCAGAGAAAUCAGGGAUCUAUCACCAAGACUGGUUUUAAAUAACUCACCGUGCUCCAUUUUGCUUGGAUACAUUCACCUGAAAGUAGAAGCCACAGCAGGUCUUUCGUGAAAGUCAGACAAGGAUCGCGCUCUGCUCAGCCCUGUUGAGGCAUCCGAAGGUCCUGGCACAGAGCCAGGGAUGGCAAAUGUCGUGGGGACAUUGCCGAAACGCACUCAGGCCCCAGUAGCACCUUCAGUCUUCCUGCUCGUUGAAGUCCGCCUUUCUUUUAAUCUGAUACAAGUGGCAGAAGCCACUGCUGUUCUCAGAGCCACACUUGUUCAGAUCCUGGGGUGAGAGGAAGAUCAUUGCCUAUGUUAAGGCUGAGUGAAGUGGGAUGAAAUUAUCUGGAUUUUGAAAGCUGGCAGAGCUUCAUCCUCAGCGAGGGCCCUAGAGCAGCCGCCGGAUCCUUCCAUCUGUGAAUGGCAAUUCCCAGCAGCUCCGUCCCCAAACCACUGCUUUUGGCUGCCCUCCUAAUUGAUAACGUGAAGCUUCCCCUGCUUAAAGAAAUCUGUGUUCAUCGCUUGGAAAGGAGAACAAGGCAGAGCUAGGGGAACAUCUCUCAGUGUAAUCGAAUGCUUUGGAUUUCAUGUCCCCACUUUAGAACUCGGAUUACAGGGUCCUAGGCAUAGAGAGGAUUUCUGAUUCACGGCUCCUCACUUGAUUAUAAACCCCAGCGUAAAGUCUCACCUACCUGAGAUGGGACCUGUGCACAAGCCCCAGCUGUGCCGUUUGUUCUAGAACCUCCCAUGAUAGAGGCAUGUUGACUUUCUUCUUGAUAUUCUAAGACCCUGACCAUGGAGGAGCUGCCUGAAGCUGCCCUCUCAGGGAACACAUCUACUUCUCCCCAGUACCUCACACUGGGCGCACAGCAGGGGACCCAGCUUUCUCCCCAGUUUGCUACUGUCCCCGAGGUCGAGGAGCCUGGAGCAAGACGGCCCGCUCUUCCUUUGCCACAUGUGGUGUGUGGAAGAUGGUGGCACUCUUCACACCACUGGGCCUUACUAAUGACCAAGUUGAGGAGCGGGGGUGAUGCCAACUAUCCUUCAUAAUAAUUUUUUUAACUGAGCAAUGUCUAGUAUAAGGCAUUAAAGGUGGACGUGAGGCACAGUAGCCCGUACAAAAGUAGCCAUCAAUAUUAAGAUAUUGAUAUUCAAUUUCAGAAAAGGAGAUCUAGAAAGCCGAAUUCAAGUUGGCCAUGCAGCAAUUGAAGAAAAGCAGGGAGGUUCUGGAGCUGGGCCUGGCUCGUCUUUAUUCAAAUAUCCAGCAGGUAUUCACUGGACACCACUAUGUGUACUGUGAGAAGCUGGAGACAUAAAGGUUAAAAAGACAUAAAGAUUGAAGAAGCCCAUGAACAAGAUGCUCAGAGAUUGCUAAGUGACUCGUGGCCUGUCAACUCACGCAUGCCUCCAUCAGACUCAGUUGGCCUGCCUCAACUUUUCUUUGCCAUGGAGCCUCCUAGAAGCUUGCUGUCAUUCACUCUCAAAAUAUCUGGGGGCCCAGAUCACUAACUGCCCAAGGUUACAGAGGGACCUGUCGAGGUAAUGGGAGGCAAAGUGACUUGUGCGAUCGCUGCAUGCAUGGGUGGGUGCUAGAGCAGGACUGGUGCCCCCAGCCAGCUCACAAGUCAGUAUUUUUGUUGGGUUUGUCUGCCAUCCUUGUGCUCACCUGGAGCUCCCUUCUAGCCUGCCAGGCUCCUUCCA